CCUCCCCGGUUCUCGGAACAUUUUAAGCAUCUUCACCCAAACGACACUAGUUCGGGGUUUUAACACUGUCCUAUCUCUCCCGACGGACAGCCUUUAUCAAACCACGCCAUUAUUCCCGCUGUAACAUCGCAACCGACUGCCUCAUUUGGCUCCGUACCCGACUGUGCCGAGAAAACCACAUGGUGUGACAGAGUUUGUUGACAGGGCCAACCAACCGACAGGCAGGACAGGCACCAAAAAGCGUGCGUGCGUCGAGCGCAAGCGUGCAGGAAAAUGACCUGACUUGAUCGAGUGAAUCCAGAUCCUUUUCCUCCGUUCAUUGAUGUUCUAUUUCUAGAAGGUCCGAAGAUUGUCUACAUAUAUGUAUGUACUUCGCAUUCCGCAAGUCAUGCUUGCUAUGUUUGGUUCGGGGAGACCUUGCCGAGGCUAGUAAAACUGUACACAAGCGGGUCGUACCCAGCUGGCCUAGGUUUCAGGCACGUACAUACGUACCAUUCGAAUAGUUCGUAACACUACUUACUACCUAUUGGACGGUGCGCUAGUGAAUAGUGCUCUCAGCUACAGAUGAACGGCGACAACGACGAUGUCCGGCUUCGUUCGUUGGUGCAGAGUUUACCGCUCGCAAUUUAUCGUUAGUACCUAGUGAGUACUGACCCUUUCACGGAAAUCCAGAUGUACUCUGUACGAGGUAAUGUUCGAAGAUCACGGAGUACAACUGACGGAGAUUUCGAAAUGCCCUCCCACUCACUUUUGAGUUUGCACCCUAUAUAUCCUUCCGCUUCUUAUGGGGAAUUCGGAUUCUGAAUACGAAGACCGAGAACUGAGCCAAAGAGUUGCGAGGAGCUGCCUUUGCCUCUGUAGAUGCCAGUCUGCAUCAGUUCAUCAACAUCUUCAAUGGUCCACCAACCCUCUCCGUCUUACAUACUCUCAUUCCACACAAUCAUCUCAUCGUUGAGAAGAAGCAGCUGCAAAAGUGCCACCAUGUCUGUCAUAGCAACGGGU